rnacentral:rRNA from 1 species
GGACCUGACUGCUAUCGGAUUGAUANUAAGCCAUGUGAGUCAUUGUAGCAAUACAAGGCAGACGGCUCAGUAACACGUAGCCAAUCUACCCUAUGGACGGGGAUAACCUCGGGAAACUGAGGAUAAACCCCGAUAGAUCAUUAUGCCUGGAAUGGUUAAUGGUUCAAAUGAUUCGUCGCCGUAGGAUGGGACUGCGGCCUAUCAGCUUGUUGGUGAGGUAAUGGCCCACCAAGGCUAUUACAGGUACGGGCUCUGAGAGGAGAAGCCCGGAGAUGGGUACUGAGACACGGACCCAGGCCCUAUGGGGCGCAGCAGGCGAGAAACCUUUGCAAGGUGCGCAAGCACGACAAGGUUAAUCCGAGUGUUUCCUGCUAAAGGAAUCUUUUGUUAGUCCUAAAAACACUAGGGAAUAGGGGGUGGGCAAGUUCUGGUGU